rnacentral:rRNA from 1 species
CACGCUGUAAGCGAUGAGUACUAGGUGUCGGGGGUUACCCCCUUCGGUGCCGCAGCUAACGCAUUAAGUACUCCGCCUGGGAAGUACGCUCGCAAGGGUGAAACUCAAAGGAAUUGACGGGGACCCGCACAAGUAGCGGAGCAUGUGGUUUAAUUCGAAGCAACGCGAAGAACCUUACCUAAGCUUGACAUCCCAAUGACAUCUCCUUAAUCGG